CGGGACACGUGGUAUCCUGUCUGAAUAUGGGGGGACCAUCCUCCAAGGCUAAAUACUCCUGACUGACCGAUAGUGAACCAGUACCGUGAGGGAAAGGCGAAAAGAACCCCGGCGAGGGGAGUGAAAAAGAACCUGAAACCGUGUACGUACAAGCAGUGGGAGCCUCUUUAUGGGGUGACUGCGUACCUUUUGUAUAAUGGGUCAGCGACUUAUAUUCUGUAGCAAGGUUAACCGAAUAGGGGAGCCGAAGGGAAACCGAGUCUUAACUGGGCGUUAAGUUGCAGGGUAUAGACCCGAAACCCGGUGAUCUAGCCAUGGGCAGGUUGAAGGUUGGGUAACACUAACUGGAGGACCGAACCGACUAAUGUUGAAAAAUUAGCGGAUGACUUGUGGCUGGGGGUGAAAGGCCAAUCAAACCGGGAGAUAGCUGGUUCUCCCCGAAAGCUAUUUAGGUAGCGCCUCGUGAAUUCAUCUCCGGGGGUAGAGCACUGUUUCGGCAAGGGGGUCAUCCCGACUUACCAACCCGAUGCAAACUGCGAAUACCGGAGAAUGUUAUCACGGGAGACACACGGCGGGUGCUAACGUCCGUCGUGAAGAGGGAAACAACCCAGACCGCCAGCUAAGGUCCCAAAGUCAUGGUUAAGUGGGAAACGAUGUGGGAAGGCCCAGACAGCCAGGAUGUUGGCUUAGAAGCAGCCAUCAUUUAAAGAAAGCGUAAUAGCUCACUGGUCGAGUCGGCCUGCGCGGAAGAUGUAACGGGGCUAAACCAUGCACCGAAGCUGCGGCAGCGACGCUUAUGCGUUGUUGGGUAGGGGAGCGUUCUGUAAGCCUGCGAAGGUGUGCUGUGAGGCAUGCUGGAGGUAUCAGAAGUG
rnacentral:rRNA from 1 species